GUCAAAUCUGUCUUAAUAUAAGACUCACAUGCCCACAUGUACACUGACAGAGUUAUUGAUCACUGUGGUCAUUGCUCCCGUCCACACUGGCUCUGCUGUGACCUCUUCCCAACAUGUAACUGAUAAGAUAAAACGGACAAUACGUGCAGAAUUCUUCAGUUCAACUAAAGUCCAUCUGAAGCUUCAGCUGUCCCACUUAGUCUAAUCAAUGGAGACUGAAACGGGGCUGAACAAGUAAUCGAAAUAUGGCUAAGUGCGAUAUCCAAGUCAAAGGAGCUGCAGCCUGUUUGAAAAAAGUACAACAGUGACGUCAUGAGGUCCACACUACACCUGCACAUCACUGCAGAGAGUGCCAGUCUUAAGGUUUGGCCGAUUUAGAGACGUCACUGACCACGCCUUGGUGGAGAGCUGCCCGCCAGAGGAGGAGGAGGAGGAG